rnacentral:rRNA from 1 species
AUACGUAGGGUCCGAGCGUUGUCCGGAAUUACUGGGCGUAAAGAGCUCGUAGGUGGUUUGUCGCGUUGUUCGUGAAAACUCACAGCUUAACUGUGGGCGUGCGGGCGAUACGGGCAGACUAGAGUACUGCAGGGGAGACUGGAAUUCCUGGUGUAGCGGUGGAAUGCGCAGAUAUCAGGAGGAACACCGGUGGCGAAGGCGGGUCUCUGGGCAGUAACUGACGCUGAGGAGCGAAAGCGUGGGUAGC